CGAGAAAAGCCCUUCGCUAUAACGCACCUCACCGAGACAAGCCCCUCGCUAUAACGCACCUCAUCGAGAAAAGCCCGAUUUUAGGUACCUCAAUGUUUAUUCUGUUUAUUAAUGACUUACCACUUGAAGUCUCCAACAGCGCACUCGAGAUAUAUGCAGAUGAUACAACACAAGUCGCAAGUGGAAGUAGCGUUAGUGAGGUUGAGUCUAUUCUUACUGAAGAGCUAAAAAAGGUGAAUGGAUGGGCGAAUGAAAACAAAAUGGUUUUGAACCAAAGUAAAACCAAAUCAAUGCUUAUCUGUAGCAAGCCAAAGUUGCGCAAAUUGGCAGGAAAGGAUUUGACAGUCAGCACCGAAAAUGGCUAGCUUGAAUGUGUCAAUGAAGUUAAACUGCUUAGCAUAAGAUUAGACAACUUCUUAACCUGGGACAACCACCUCAAGUACAUUCACAAUAAGAUCUCCAAGCGACUAGGCUUGUUAAAAAGGACAAAGAAAUUCCUGUCACUUUAAACAAGAACCCUGUUCUACCAUUCGCUUAUACAGCCAAUAUUAGACUAUGGUGCUAUCGUCUGGGGCUCGACCAAAAAACAUCACAUCGACGAUAUGAUCAAGUUCCAGAAACGAUGUGCGCGGGUUAUCCUCGAUAAGAAAUGGGAUGCACCCUUAAAACCACUUUUUGAAGAACUAAAUAUUAGAAUAUUGUCCCCUUCGACAAAAGAAUAAUCUACCUACAACCUACAACACGCACGCGCACUAUAAAAGGGGGCAAAACUGGUGAGCUCCGAAAAAUCUGUCAAUCAAAUCAGUUGAGUCAAGACUUCAAAGCGUGCGGACGUGUUUCACGGAGCUCCCGACAAACCAGAAAAUGAGUCGAGCUACAGUUCAAACCUAUCCAAGAAAGUUUGGAGCUCAAGUCCCAAUUCUGCAUCUCCUCAAACCACUACUACCAGCUUUCCACUACCAGUACAAUGCUAAUAUUUGUUUAUUGUAAAUCCCUGGAUUAGGCAUGAUCAAGUGUGCUUUACAUGCACAGACUGAUCUAUGCAGUUUACAAUAUCAUGAAGGGAGUAUAUAAGCACAGUACCUGAAGAUUUUCCCAAAAUAAACAGUGUAAUUCAGUGUAAAUAAAAGCAUGAAAACAUUAAUAAAAACUACUUGUUUUUUGAGUUGAUAAAGCAGCAUGCCUAUAGUCAUCCUCACAUUGUAUCAUAUAUGAACCAGCACUGAUGACAGAGCAUUACAAAAUAUGUCCUAGUCAAUUGGUAUCCUACUGAAGGCAGUCUCAAGGAGGAAGAUGUGAAGUGAAGGCUUAUCCAGAUUAUGAGAGCCAUGGGAAUGUUAGCUUGUAUUUUCAAGAAUGCAUCUUUAUUUUAUUAUCUGCAUUUCCUAAUAUUGGAUGAAAAUCCCAAUUCCAAGCAGGAGAGAUAGGGGUAUGGGGGCCUGUUUCCUUUCUCAAAAUAUAGGAAUCAGAAAACCCUUGUUGUAUAGAUUGUUUGUUGUUUCAUCUUUUGUAAAUGUUUUCACAAUGAUGGAAAAAUAAACUGCAUGGUUAGGAAAA